AUUGCGAGGACUUUAGCAAUGUAGGGGAUGAGCGGCAAAUUCAGGAUCAACAACACAAGGUUGCCGAUGAACAUCGACAUAAUGACCGCCCAGAAAAUCUGUGGAUCGUCAAUCAUCAGGCGUGGGCC
rnacentral:ncRNA from 1 species